AUGACCUACAGUAGGAGAAUUACAAUGGAAUUCGUGCGGGCUUGCUUACCAAACAAGACAGUAAGAGAAUUAGAAACAUUCAUUCUAAAUGGUUCAGCCACUCAGGCUUGCCUGGAUCUUUGUUUUGAUUGCCUAUCUAUUUGUUGCAUUGGAGGAGGUAAGCCAGAGGCGAGAAAUAGAGCAUGCCAUGUGUGGUUUUUCAUUUCAGGCCUAAGAAAAUCCCUCAUGCUCAAAGUAAUGGGGGUUUGUGGCGAGAGGGGCGUUAUUUUACAUCAGUCAAUCCAUUAUGCAUCUUCAGCAUGUCAAUCACCUCCGCAUCCAUGUCCCCUUUGA
rnacentral:rRNA from 1 species